GCAAGUCGUGGGACAGCAUGUCCCGCAGCAAUGCGGGAUGAUGGCGACCGGCAAACGGGUGCGGAACACGUACACAACCUUCCUUUAAGUGGGGGAUAGCCCAGGGAAACUUGGAUUAAUACCCCGUAAUAUAUAGAAGUGGCAUCGCUUUUAUAUUAUAGCAGCAAUGCGCUUGAAGAUGGGUGUGCGGCUGAUUAGAUAGUUGGCGGGGUAACGGCCCACCAAGUCGACGAUCAGUAACUGGUGUGAGAGCACGACCAGUCACACGGGCACUGAGACACGGGCCCGACUCCUACGGGAGGCAGCAGUAAGGAAUAUUGGUCAAUGGACGCAAGUCUGAACCAGCCAUGCCGCGUGGAGGAUGAAGGUCCUCUGGAUUGUAAACUUCUUUUAUUUGGGAAGAAACCCAUCUUUUCUUGGAUGGUUGACGGUACCAGAUGAAUAAGCACCGGCUAACUCCGUGCCAGCAGCCGCGGUAAUACGGAGGGUGCAAGCGUUAUCCGGAUUCACUGGGUUUAAAGGGUGCGUAGGUGGGCAAGUAAGUCAGUGGUGAAAUCUCCGGGCUUAACCCGGAAACUGCCAUUGAUACUAUUUGUCUUGAAUACUGUGGAGGUCAGCGGAAUAUGUCAUGUAGCGGUGAAAUGCUUAGAUAUGACAUAGAACACCAAUUGCGAAGGCAGCUGGCUACACAAAUAUUGACACUGAGGCACGAAAGCGUGGGGAUCAAACAGGAUUAGAUACCCUGGUAGUCCACGCCCUAAACUAUGGAUACUCGACAUUUGCGAUAAACUGCAAGUGUCUGAGCGAAAGCAUUAAGUAUCCCACCUGGGAAGUACGAUCGCAAGAUU
rnacentral:rRNA from 1 species